CCUACGGGAGGCUGCAGUGGGGAAUAUUGCACAAUGGGCGCAAGCCUGAUGCAGCCAUGCCGCGUGUGUGAAGAAGGCCUUCGGGUUGUAAAGCACUUUCAGCGGGGAGGAAGGCGGUGAGGUUAAUAACCUCAUCGAUUGACGUUACCCGCAGAAGAAGCACCGGCUAACUCCGUGCCAGCAGCCGCGGUAAUACGGAGGGUGCAAGCGUUAAUCGGAACUACUGGGCGUAAAGCGCACGCAGGCGGUCUGUCAAGUCGGAUGUGAAAUCCCCGGGCUCAACCUGGGAACUGCAUUCGAAACUGGCAGGCUAGAGUCUUGUAGAGGGGGGUAGAAUUCCAGGUGUAGCGGUGAAAUGCGUAGAGAUCUGGAGGAAUACCGGUGGCGAAGGCGGCCCCCUGGACAAAGACUGACGCUCAGGUGCGAAAGCGUGGGGAGCAAACAGGAUUAGAUACCCGUGUAGUC
rnacentral:rRNA from 1 species